GGACAACACCAGAAGCGGAAGUCUUCAGCUCAGUAAUUAUUACGAUACAAUACUCAUAUUUUCUCUCACAAAAGUCGAAUUACAAAAAUUAGGCGAUCCGCGCAUUAAACACAAAUUUUUGGAGUUAAGUACAUGCGAUCUGUAAAUACUGUGUACGGAAAUAAUGCGGAUGCAGAGAUGACAUUUUCUAGUUACGCUGGCGAGCAGGAGAUAUACAUAUCUGGAAUGGAUUUAUCUGAACAAUAGCCGAAAUUAAAUAAACAUAAUGCCGCCAUCGCGAUGACUGUCCAUCGAGUCCAUCGUUUUUCCGUAAUAUUUCUGAUUGCCCUUUUCUGAUGCCAAAAUAAAGUUAUUAUUGGACCUUUCGGGCUGUUGUAACAUUGGACUGUGCGACACAACUGUAAUAAAUGAUAAUUCAGCUUCAUAAAUAAUUCAUCAACGGAAAAAUCUUCAGAUAUAUAUACAGAAACUGAAAUAUAAAAAAGUGUAUACAUCUUAGUACGUGAAAGUGAAGCAAGAAAUCGAUAGACUGCGUAUUCUUCAAUCAACUAGAUAUUGAAACUGGAAUACUGGAAUAUGUUACAUCAACAACUGGAAUAUAGCAACGAAAGUAACAAAGGGCAAGUAGACCGCAUUAUUGUGUGCAUACAACAAUUUAAC